rnacentral:rRNA from 1 species
UACGGGGGGGCGAGCGUUAUUCGGAAUUACUGGGCGUAAAGCGCACGUAGGCGGCGACGUAAGUCGUGUGUGAAAUCCAACGGCGCAACCGUGGAACGGCAUUUGAAACUGCGUGGCUUGAGUCCGGGAGAGGAUGGCGGAAUUUCCGGUGUAGAGGUGAAAUUCGUAGAUAUUGGGAGGAACACCGGUGGCGAAGGCGGCCAUCUGGACGGUGACUGACGCUGAGACGCGAAAGCGUGGGGAGCAAACAGG